CCGAAGAAAAUACGGAAUUCCAACAUGAAUCUCUACCCAAGAACUGGAGUCACAUACUCACGAACAUCUAAGAACACUAAAUAUAGAGUCUGAAAGAAACAUCAAUCUGGAAUUCCAACAUGAAUCUCUACCCAAGAACUGGAGUCACAUACUCACGAACAUCUAAGAAGUACUAAAUACAAAGCCUGCAAGAAACAUAAAUCUGUUUAUCUCGAGAACAAUGAGAUGACAGUCUAAAGUGAGGAUAGAGGAGAGCCGAGCCUGCGGAGGCCUGCAAGGCUACCUCGAUGUCUCGAUGGACUGAAGGUCUGCUCCCACGCUACUGCUGUUAGUGCUGUCCAAAACCCGGAUCUGUGCAAC
rnacentral:lncRNA from 1 species